UACGGAGGAUGCAAGCGUUAUCCGGAUUUAUUGGGUUUAAAGGGUGCGUAGGCGGCCGAGUAAGUCAGCGGUGAAAUUUUGCAGCUUAACUGUAACAGUGCCGUUGAUACUGCCAGGCUAGGAUUUGGUUGCUGUGGGUGGAAUGUGUGGUGUAGCGGUGAAAUGCUUAGAUAUCACACAGAAUAUCAAUUGCGAAGGCAGCUCACAAAGCCAAGAUUGACGCUGAGGCACGAAAGUGUGGGGAUCAAACAGGA
rnacentral:rRNA from 1 species